CUACGGGUUGCAGCAGUCGAGAAUCAUUCGCAAUGCGCGAAAGCGUGACGAUGCGACGCCGCGUGCAUGAUGAAGCUCUUCGGAGUGUAAAGUGCUUUUCUAAAGGAUGAAGUUAUUGACAGUACUUUAGGAAUAAGGGGUUGCUAAACUCGUGCCAGCAGCCGCGGUAAUACGAGUGCCCCAAGCGUUGUCCGGAAUCACUGGGCGUAAAGGGUGCGUAGGAGGAGCUGUUAGUCCUGCUUUAAAUUUUUCCGCUUAACGGAAAAAGUGGGUAGGAUACGGCAGCACUGAGAGGAUGCGAGAGGUCUACUGAACUCUGGGUGUAGGGGUGAAAUCCGUUGAUAUCCAGGGGAACACCAAAAGCGAAGGCAGUAGACUGGCGCAUUCCUGACUCUGAGGCACGAAAGCGUGGGUAGCGAAAGGGAUUAGAUACCCUAGUAGUC
rnacentral:rRNA from 1 species